UCAUGGCUGGCUCAGACGGUAAAGCAUCUGCCUGCAGUGCAGAAAACCUGGGUUCAGUCCCUGGGUUGGGAA
rnacentral:tRNA from 1 species